GAUGAACGCUGGCGGCGUGCCUAAUACAUGCAAGUCGAGCGAACGGACGAGAAGCUUGCUUCUCUGAUGUUAGCGGCUGACGGGUGAGUAACACGUGGAUAACCUACCUAUAAGACUGGGAUAACUUCGGGAAACCGGAGCUAAUACUGGAUCAUAUUUUGAACCGCAUGGUUCAAAAGUGAAAGACGGUCUUGCUGUCACUUAUAGAUGGAUCCGCGCUUCAUUAGCUAGUUGGUAAGGUAACGGCUUACCAAGGCAACGAUGCAUAGCCGAUCUGAGAGGAUGAUCAGCCACACUGGAACUGAGACACGGUCCAGACUCCUACGGGAGGCAGCAGUAGGGAAUCUUCCGCAAUGGGCGAAAGCCUGACGGAGCAACGCCGCGUGAGUGAUGAAGGUCUUCGGAUCGUAAAACUCUGUUAUUAGGGAAGAACAGAUGUGUAAGAAACUGUGCACAUCUUGACGGUACCUAAUCAGAAAGCAACGGCUAACUACGUG
rnacentral:rRNA from 1 species